rnacentral:tRNA from 2 species
CAGAAAAUAGUUUAGUUUAGAAUGCCAGCUUUGGGGGUUGGCGGUAGGGGUUAAAAUCUCCUUUUUCUGG